rnacentral:tRNA from 1 species
GUCCCUGUCGAUUAGUGGUUAAAUCAUCUCGUUGUGGUUCUGUUGCUCCGAGAAGCCGGAAGCUCGAAUCCUCCCAGGGACA